GACGAACGCUGGCGGCGUGCUUAACACAUGCAAGUCGAACGGAAAGGCCCUGCUUUUGUGGGGUGCUCGAGUGGCGAACGGGUGAGUAACACGUGAGUAACCUGCCCUUGACUUUGGGAUAACUUCAGGAAACUGGGGCUAAUACCGGAUAGGAGCUCCUGCUGCAUGGUGGGGGUUGGAAAGUUUCGGCGGUUGGGGAUGGACUCGCGGCUUAUCAGCUUGUUGGUGGGGUAGUGGCUUACCAAGGCUUUGACGGGUAGCCGGCCUGAGAGGGUGACCGGCCACAUUGGGACUGAGAUACGGCCCAGGCUCCUACGGGAGGCAGCAGUGGGGAAUAUUGCACAAUGGGCGGAAGCCUGAUGCAGCAACGCCGCGUGCGGGAUGACGUCCUUCGGGUUGUAAACCGCUUUCGCCUGUGACGAAGCGUGAGUGACGGUAAUGGGUAAAGAAGCACCGGCUAACUACGUG
rnacentral:rRNA from 1 species